AGAGCUCAAGCUUAAAAUCUCCGUGCAAGUUUUGCGCGGCGAAUUGUAGUCUAUAGAGGCGUGAUCAGUGUGGGCGCUUGGGGCAAGUUCCUUGGAAGAGGACAGCAUGGAGGGUGAUACUCCCGUUCAUCCCUGAGUUGCUCGUGCGUACGAUCCGUUUUCUUUGAGUCGCGUUGUUUGGGAAUGCAGCGCAAAGUAGGUGGUAAAUUCCAUCUAAAGCUAAAUAUUGGUGCGAGACCGAUAGCGAACAAGUACCGUGAGG
rnacentral:ncRNA from 1 species